GAUGAACGCUGGCGGCGUGCCUAAUACAUGCAAGUCGAGCGAACGGACGAGAAGCUUGCUUCUCUGAUGUUAGCGGCGGACGGGUGAGUAACACGUGUAUAACCUACCUAUAAGACUGGGAUAACUUCGGGAAACCGUAUCUAAUACCGGAUAAUAUUUUGAACCGCAUUGUUCAAAAGUGAAAGACGGUCUUGCUGUCACUUAUAGAUGGAUCCGCGCUGCAUUAGCUAGUUGGUAAGGUAACGGCUUACCAAGGCAACGAUGCAUAGCCGACCUGAGAGGGUGAUCGGCCACACUGGAACUGAGACACGGUCCAGACUCCUACGGGAGGCAGCAGUAGGGAAUCUUCCGCAAUGGGCGAAAGCCUGACGGAGCAACGCCGCGUGAGUGAUGAAGGUCUUCGGAUCGUAAAACUCUGUUAUUAGGGAAGAACAUAUGUGUAAGUAACUGUGCACAUCUUGACGGUACCUAAUCAGAAAGCCACGGCUAACUACGUG
rnacentral:rRNA from 1 species